GUGUGUACAGGUGUGUUCAGGUGUGUGCAGGUGUGUGCAGGUGUGUGCAGGUGUGCACAGGUGUGUGCAGGUGUGUGCAGGUGUGUGCAGGUGUGUGCAGGUGUGUGCAGGUGUGUACAGG